rfam:Homo sapiens chromosome 15, GRCh38 reference primary assembly.
AGCUUUUUGUAGUUCAUAAGCGUGAUGACUGGGUGUACACACAUGUGUAAGAUGUACCUCCCUCACACCUCGGUACAACAUUGGCAUAUUACCCACCCCACA